AAAGGAUCAGAAUGAAGCCUACUGGAUAGACAUAGAGAAAUAUGAGUCCUCCAGUGGAAGGACAGAAGUAAAACACAGCUGGCCAGCACUGUGCUAGUCAUCUAACUUAACCCUUACCUCCAUGUCCCUGCCCUGUUACAUCCGUCACUGUCAUCAUCCUCAUACAAAUGAGGAAAACAGAGCCAGCAGCUUGUAAGUGAUAGGAACUCGUUCCUCAGCCUUCUGGAGGUUACAAAGCUCAAGAUCAAGUGUGAAGAGGUUCUCUGGGAGCUAUGGGCUGUGGAGUUCCAGCCCAUCCUGGUGGACCUUGAUGGUUUAACUUCAAAGCAAGAGUGUAGUUGGUACCCACUGCACUAAGCAGAUAUGGUGGAUUUGAACCAUUGACUUCCCUCAGCAUGCAAACUGACCCGGAAAGAAUCUUGUAUUCAUUAGGAAUGCCAGGUCUCCAGCUAAAGCUCUGAUGAAGGACUAUGGAUGACUACAGAAACUUAUCAUCUAGUGCUAAAGUUUCCUACAGCACAGUUGCAGAAAGCAGCUGCAGGUUGACUCCAGCUUUACUGAAACAACACUUACACCUCCAGGUAAAAUAUGAGUGAAAAAGUCUAAAGAGAUGUCCUCCUUGUUAAGGAAAUAAAUAAACACUUUCCUGAGCGGCCAACA
rnacentral:lncRNA from 1 species